rnacentral:rRNA from 1 species
GAUGAACGCUGGCGGCGUGCCUAAUACAUGCAAGUCGAGCGAACGGACGAGAAGCUUGCUUCUCUGAUGUUAGCGGCGGACGGGUGAGUAACACGUGGAUAACCUACCUACAAGACUGGGAUAACUUCGGGAAACCGGAGCUAAUACCGGAUAAUAUUUUGAACCGCAUGGUUCAAAAGUGAAAGACGGUCUUGCUGUCACUUAUAGAUGGAUCCGCGCUGCAUUAGCUAGUUGGUAAGGUAACGGCUUACCAAGGCAACGAUGCAUAGCCGACCUGAGAGGGUGAUCGGCCACACUGGAACUGAGACACGGUCCAGACUCCUACGGGAGGCAGCAGUAGGGAAUCUUCCGCAAUGGGCGAAAGCCUGACGGAGCAACGCCGCGUGAGUGAUGAAGGUCUUCGGAUCGUAAAACUCCGUUAUUAGGGAAGAACAUAUGUGUAAGUAACUGUGCACAUCUUGACGGUACCUAAUCAGAAAGCCACGGCUAACUACGUG